rnacentral:lncRNA from 1 species
AGUUAUAACUUCUAUGAAAUUUUUUUUCAUUAAUCACACUACUAUGGUCACAAAUUUUCAGACUUAGUCUCUCAAAUUUCAUAGGACUAUUCUUUUCUAUCAAGAUUGAUAGAUCCCAUUUUGAUGCAUAUCCUACUCCUACAGUAAACCAACUGUCGUUAAUAUAUAUUAUAAAAGUUCAUUAAGAUUCAUGUUUAUGUAUCAAUCAAACUCCAACAGGCUCACU